GUGAGGAAUAUUGCUCAAUGGGCGAAAGCCUGAAGCAGCGACGCCGCGUGAGGGAUGAAAUCCUUUCGGAUGUAAACCUCUUUUGCGAGGGAAGAAUGUCCGCCUUUGGCGGAAGGGACUGUACCUCGUGAAUAAGCACCGGCCAACUACGUGCCAGCAGCCGCGGUAAUACGUAGGGUGCAAGCGUUGUCCGGAAUUACUGGGUGUAAAGGGUCCGUAGGCGGGCAGAUAAGUCGAUGGUGAAAUCCCAUGGCUCAACCGUGGAACUGCCGUUGAUACUGUCUGUCUUGAGUUCGAGAGAGGGCAAUGGAAUUCAUGGUGUAGCGGUGAAAUGCGUAGAUAUCAUGAAGAACACCGAUUGCGAAGGCAGUUGCCUGGCUCGAUACUGACGCUCAGGGACGAAAGCGUGGGUAGCAAACAGGAUUAGAUACCCGAGUAGUCC
rnacentral:rRNA from 1 species